UUGCAAUAACAAUAACAAAUAUGGCGGACAAGAUUUAGCCGAUUAACCUAAACUUUAAAGAACUUUUUUCGGUGACUAACAUACUGAGACUGAAGAAAAACCAAAAAAAAAAUGCAGUAAAGGUAAUGUAGACGUAGAUAAAGAAGUAUUUUCUUGCCCAGUGAUUUUCUUGGCCGGGAAAAUGUUCACAAAACAUCGACG